CUUCCAAGGGUACUUCUGAGACCUUCACCUCACGGACUCUUCCAUAAGCCUGCCUCCAUCAUGGCUUCCCCCAAGCAACAACUGCAAGGAGCCAAGGCUUUGGAUGCCUGGGUCUUUGAUGUGUCCUGUCCUUCAAGCUGUAAUAAAGUUGCUUUCCCGGCACAAGAGGCCUGAACUCUGCAGAAGAUGCUGUGUGAUGCUCAAAGCAGGACACGCCAGUCAUUUGGAUCUUCACAGAGCAGGAAGAAUGCACACAGUCCUACAUCUCUAAACAUCUUGAGAGUUUCAAAUACUUUUGGAAAACUACCAUUAGAGGUUCAGAGGCCUUCACAUUACAUUCACAUUCUGUUUCUGGUAGGUCUCAAGAG